rnacentral:tRNA from 1 species
GCGGGCGUCGUAUAAUGGUUAUUACCCAAGCUUCCCAAGCUUGUGACGCGGGUUCGAUUCCCGCCGCCCGCUCCA